AGAGUUUGAUCCUGGCUCAGGAUGAACGCUAGCGGGAGGCUUAACACAUGCAAGUCGAGCGGUAUUGACCUUCGGGUCGAGAGAGCGGCGCACGGGUGCGUAACGCGUAUGCAACCUGCCUUAUGCAGGGGGAUAGCCCGGGGAAACCCGGAUUAAUACCCCAUAGAUCAGUAGUAUCGCAUGGUACAAUUGGUAAAGAUUCAUUGGCAUAAGAUGGGCAUGCGUCUGAUUAGCUAGUUGGUAGGGUAACGGCCUACCAAGGCGACGAUCAGUAGGGGUUCUGAGAGGAUUAUCCCCCACACUGGUACUGAGACACGGACCAGACUCCUACGGGAGGCAGCAGUGAGGAAUAUUGGUCAAUGGGCGCAAGCCUGAACCAGCCAUCCCGCGUGAAGGAUGAAUGCCUUAUGGGUUGUAAACUUCUUUUGUACCUGAAGAAACUCUGGGUCGUGACCUGGACUGCCGGUAGGGUACGAAUAAGCAUCGGCUAACUCCGUGCCAGCAGCCGCGGUAAUACGGAGGAUGCAAGCGUUAUCCGGAUUUAUUGGGUUUAAAGGGUGCGCAGGUGGUUAAAUAAGUCAGUGGUGAAAGUCUGCCGCUUAACGGUAGGAUUGCCAUUGAUACUGUUUAACUUGAGUUUAGGUGAGGUAGGCGGAAUGUGUAGUGUAGCGGUGAAAUGCAUAGAUAUUACACAGAACACCGAUUGCGAAGGCAGCUUACUAAUCUACAACUGACACUGAGGCACGAAAGCGUGGGGAUCAAACAGGAUUAGAUACCCUGGUAGUCCACGCUGUAAACGAUGAUCACUCGCUGUUUGCGAUAUACAGUAAGCGGCUAAGCGAAAGCGAUAAGUGAUCCACCUGGGGAGUACGAUCGCAAGGUUGAAACUCAAAGGAAUUGACGGGGGCCCGCACAAGCGGAGGAACAUGUGGUUUAAUUCGACGCAACGCGCAGAACCUUACCUGGUCUUGACAUCCUCGGAAUCCUGCAGAGAUGCGGGAGUGCCUUCGGGAAUCGGAACACAGGUGCUGCAUGGCUGUCGUCAGCUCGUGUCGUGAGAUGUUGGGUUAAGUCCCGCAACGAGCGCAACCCUUGUCCUUAGUUGCCAGCACGUAAUGGUGGGAACUCUAAGGAGACUGCCGGUGACAAACCGGAGGAAGGUGGGGAUGACGUCAAGUCAUCAUGGCCCUUACGACCAGGGCUACACACGUACUACAAUGGGAGGUACAGAGGGCAGCGAAGCCGCGAGGCGAAGCCAAUCCCAGAAAACCUCUCUCAGUCCGGAUCGGAGUCUGCAACUCGACUCCGUGAAGUCGGAAUCGCUAGUAAUCGCGAAUCAGCAUUGUCGCGGUGAAUACGUUCCCGGGCCUUGUACACACCGCCCGUCACACCAUGGGAGUUGGUUGCUCCAGAAGUAGGUAGUCUAACCGCAAGGGGGACGCUUACCACGGAGUGGUCAAUGACUGGGGUGAAGUCGUAACAAGGUAUCC
rnacentral:rRNA from 1 species